AGCAUCACAUAUGGGGAGGGAUAAUAAUCCCCUUACGGCUUCUUUAGUGAAUUUUCAUUUUGUUACACCACACUGGGCACUCUACUCUCUCCCCAGUUUCCCAAGCACCUGCAAAGGCUCCUUUGGUGUCCGACAUCUGUUGGCCUUGAACUGUCCAUGGGGAAACAACUUCCAGAAGACCCUGUUCAUCUGCCCUCUCUCCCUGUCUCCGACCAUUCAAAUGAACUACCCAUGCUCAAGGUUCUGCCGCAGGCUCUGCUUUGGGCUUCAGGUGAAGCAUUUCCACUGGAAGAGCAGAGGUUGAAUACAGCGGAAGACCUCAACCAGCGUCCACAAAAAUCACACAGCAGCGGACGGGACUUGGGGAGCAUUUGCCCAAUUCGGGUGAUUUCCUCACUAACUCUGACAGAAGAGUCACCUGACUUCCCAGGGAAAACAAUGGCAGAUUGAUUUGGCUACCUGGGCAUCUGUGGCUCUAGGAGUUGUCGUUCAUCAACAUUAAGCUGACUUCUUUGCAAAGGAUCUUACAAUCACAUAGACUUGAGUUUUAAAGUUCACAUGCAUGGAAUGUCUCUGCCCUGCUCUGAGGGAGCUCAGAGGUCUCCGUUUAACAACUGCCUUGAAGAUGAAAACCAUACGUUGUGGGCAAGAGGCUGGAGCUGUGAUUCGGUUGGCCACGUGGGCCGGGCACAAAGGAAGGCCUGGGCUCAGUCUCCAGGAGGCAUAAUCGAGGCACGGUGCACACACCUGUGAUCCUAGUGCUUGAUAGGUAGAGACAAGAAGAUCAGAAGUUCAAAUUCAAGGUCAUCCUUAGCUACAUAGCUGGCCACGUGCCCAAGGGAUGGAUGAGAUUCUGAUCAGCAUUUACCCGUGCAUGGUGGAGCCGUAGAAAGGAGGCAAGGCCACGGCUAGGCUGUCAACAUUCUGUCACGGAAGUGGGGAGGAGCUCGUGAGGCCCCCACCUCUGCCGCCUGAGGAGCUGGUUACUGGCUUUUAACUCUUUUUA
rnacentral:sRNA from 1 species